UUGGGAUAUAUUAAAUUGUGAAAUUAAGAGAUUUUGGUUCUACAAUAUCAGCUUCAAGGUUGGAGAAGGAAGCCAACUAACACCUAAGUAAAUUUUAGGAGUUCUCUUCUACUUGGAUAUUUGAUCUUCUUCAAAAAAAAUUUAUAUUUUUAGUCAACUAAGUUAUUAAAAAAUGUACAAAUAUUUAGUCAAAAUCAAUGGUUAAAGUAUUAAUUAUUGAGAUUUUAAACUAUUGUAGCAUUUAUUAAGAGUUUGUUCAAGAUUUAGGAUUUGAUUAGAAAUUGAUUAGAAUUGAUUUAGGAUUUAAGAAUUAAUUAAGAUUUGCUAAUAAUUUAAGAUUUGAUUAAGGUUAUUUAAGAUUUUAUUAGAAUUUGAUUAAGAUUUGAUUAGAAUUUAUUAGGAUUUGAUUGAUAUUUAAUCUAGGAUUUAAUUAGGAUUAUUAGAGUUUUAUUAGGAUUGAUUUAAGAUUUAGGAUUUUGUUGGAAUAUAAUGGGAAUUUAUUUAAUUUUUAUUUAUAAUUUAAAUAAAAAUAUUAUUUUUAGAAUUUUAAAGGAUUCUUUAUUAUUUUUUUAAAAGUUUUUAUUUUUA
rnacentral:lncRNA from 1 species